rnacentral:snoRNA from 1 species
GCAGUGUGCUCAGGGCAAGGGGCCUGGAGAAUGGACACUACGUUUAUAACAUACUGUGGCCUUCCUAUGAACAAAU